CUACGGGGUGCAGCAGUGAGGAAUAUUGCGCAAUGGGGGAAACCCUGACGCAGCGACGCCGCGUGGAUGAUGAAGGCCUUAGGGUCGUAAAAUCCUGUCAGGUGGGAAGAAGUAGAUAUAGAUUAAUACUCUAUUUCUUUGACGGUACCACCAAAGAAAGCACCGGCUAACUCCGUGCCAGCAGCCGCGGUAAUACGGAGGGUGCAAACGUUGUUCGGAAUUACUGGGCGUAAAGCGCGCGUAGGCGGUUUGUUAAGUCAGAUGUGAAAGUCCAUGGCUCAACUAGGGAAGUGCAUUUGAAACUGGCAGACUUGAGUACUGGAGGGGGUGAUGGAAUUCCCGGUGUAGAGGUGAAAUUCGUAGAUAUCGGGAGGAAUACCGGUGGCGAAGGCGAUCACCUGGCCAGAUACUGACGCUGAGGUGCGAAAGCGUGGGGAGCAAACAGGAUUAGAUACCCAAGUAGUC
rnacentral:rRNA from 1 species